GCAAAAGCCCGUUAGAUACGAGAGGCCCAGCAGCUCAGCCCAAAUGGAGUCACCGACCACAGUACCACCGACCUCGACGACGACGAACUAACGGUCCCGGCGCCGGCACCGGCGCCUUUCCAACAGGGAGAGAGAGGCGCAGCCGGCUCCUACUAGGAGCACCUCGCGGCGCCGGAGACUGGAGAGAAGGAGGUCUCCUUUGCGCGCGAGUGGCGGCAGACCAGGUCCAGAUAAGAUUGAUGCCAGUGGUGGAGCUGAAUAUGAUGAUUGAUCCCCUACUGGAUCUGCACUGAAGAAAUUGUAAUCUAUGGAAGUUUCUACGGUCAUUGUACCUUCCAGUACCUUCACUACUGUUGACAUCAAUGGCCUUCGACUGCUAUCAUGUUGCAAGCACCACAUUGCAAGCUUCAUCAUCUGAAUAACUUUGUCCUGGUGUGUGACCAUGUCAUGACUUUGUUUGUCAAUCAUAUCAAUCAACUGGUUGUUUUGAGCCUUUUCUUGUAACAAAUUGAUCAGAUGGAUGCUUUCCUCAGGCUGAGAAUGAUCGAUAUUUUUUCUUCCACAUAUUACUUCCAUGACAACAACUCCAAAGCUGUAAAUAUCAACUUUUUCAGUGAUUUGCGAUGUUAACCAUUCAGGUGCCAGAUAUCCAGUAGUUGAAGAAGGGGAAGGGCUAAGCUGCACCUUGAGGUAAGCAGAGGAGUUGUAAUGAAGAAUCUGAGGUUGUCUUGAUUGCAAGGAGAAAACCCGCGUGACCCAUAGGCAGUUACCAUUGGACUCGUUGUCGGCGUAUGUGAACAUCACAGCCUCGCAGGAGCAGUUUUUCAGGCACUCUUGCUUACAGUCAUCGUUGGUUCUAGCAUUUGCAAUGAUGUGGCUUGCAUUUAUAUCAAAGUAUGAAACAUCUUUUAGGGUCAAGAGUUCAUGGUGUUGAAUUUCUUGACAGGAGAUUGGAGUCAGAGGGAUGCAACCAAUGUUCGGCUUCCUCCCGUCGAUUAGCUUGAAGUAGCUUGAAGUGGAGUUACUCUGGAAGGGGCAGCUGCAUUGCCCUCCUGUGCAUACCCCAUACUCCCCACAAACUGUUGGGAAAGCACAGUCAUCAUCAGGAAACAUCUCGAUGACAUUGGACACCACGACCCACUUUCCUUCAGAUCAUUCAUACAGCCUCAGGUGUCCGUCAUUCUCAAAUCUCAUGUACUGGGUAGACUUCGCUGCUGGCAAGGGGAUGCUUGAAUAUGGAUCUGGCGUGGAUUGCACCAAGAUACUGAAGCUGCCAUUCGUUAAGGUAAACUGUGUUGGACUGUUUCCUAUCUUGUUUUUGGGCACCAAAUUUUCGGUCACCAAAUUCGAGAAGUAGGGCUGUGGUGGUGUGGAAUCAACAUAGGCAUACAAUCCAUCAUGGAGGUCAGUUAUAUACAGCUGAUUCUGUGUCCAGUUUGUUGCAGAUGUAUUUGCAGUGAGCCUCAUGCCUUCCAGUAGUGACUGCCCAGGGACCAGUGCAUCAGUCGGAUGUUCAAACGACUGCCAUACUAUUGCAUUCUUCUGAUCAAACAGCACCAGGUUGCCCAGGUCUGUGAUCAUCAUGCCAGCAAUGGACCUGCCUGCAGUGCCACUCGACCAGACACCAGCGCCAUCAGCAUCACGGAGGAUCAGGUUGCCAUCCCCUGUAAGCUCGAGGGUGGCGUUCUCCUUAACAGGGUGGACCCGGUUAGCGGACCAGACCACCUGCGGAAUGCCAUUGACUACAGAGGUGAUGCCGGCACCGCUGUUGGUGUAGACGAUGAAGACAGCGAACAAGAAAGCACUGUUGUCACAGGGUGCGGAGGGACAGAAGAACCCUGCGGCGAAAGAAGGACCAUAGAAGGUGGUCUUUGGUGACCGAAGAAUAAUGGCCCGUACGACUGAGUCAUCGGUGUAGGUGACAGUGUGCUUGAGAGAGGCGUUGUUGUUGGUCCAAAGCGUUGAGAGGUUGGCCGUCGGGUAGUCGAAGAAGGUCCGCCCGGUGAUCAACAGAGUUGCAAUUGCAAGCAGGAGGAAGACGAGAUUGGAAGGCGCCAUGGCACGGCAGCUGCUAAUUGAAGGUAUUGUGGAGACGGUUUUGUGAUUCAGUUACAGUCUUGAUGUGAAGCCAGCAAGAGCUGAGGGCUGGGUGUUACAGAGAUGAGCUUACAUACAGCGAAGAAGAACUCACCUGACCACAGGCUCGACGGAGCGGCUCUAGUCGAUGGCCGGAGGUGCUGCCGGCAUGGAUGGAGUUUGCCUGCCAGCCUGGGGCAUUGAGAUAGCACUCAACCAGUCUUCUUCUCCCUUUGCAUAUUUGUUCGUUCACAUCAUGAAGCUAAGAACCCCACUUUGAGUGUUUGCCUGCCAGCCUCGGGCACUGAAAAGGAAGAAGUAGACAACCAUAACCACACCAUGGGCCACGGCACGCUAUGUUUUGAUAGCUGUAUUGGUUUGAGACUUGGAGCGCACCAAGGUCACCAUCCACUCUGGUGCAGGCGUGCAGUGGCUAUGCCCAUCGAAGACAUGGCCGGAGUAGUCUAGAUAGUCAACCAACUUCGUCCAGCAUCAACAUUUUAGUUUGAAGAUACGAUCUAAGACAGCACGGAAAGUACUAUGUAGAUGAAAUCAUAUAUUUAUCUUUUUUUUGUUAUAUUAUUAUAAUGGAAUAUCAUAGUCAAAGUUAUAUUCUGGGUAUAGAAAUUACUGAAACUGAAGGGACUAUCUUAUAGGCUGUUAAGUUGAUGGAAUCUUUGUAUGUUGCUGCUGUCCGAAGUCGAUAUAUUAAGCCGAUGUAAUCCUUGUUUGUUGCUGCUCUUCGCAGUUAUACUUUGAAGAUGCUUUGCAAGAGUUUUGCUUUGACCUUUUC